rnacentral:rRNA from 1 species
AACUAUCAUCAUCAGAUAUCUUAGAUCUUACAACAAUGAAGAAAACAAUAAAAUACUAUUUGUAGUGUCAAUUGUAAAAUUUUGCAAAUCAUUGAGUUUUUGAAUGCAAGUUGUGCUCAAGGAUCCUUUGGAAGUUGAGUGAAA